rnacentral:rRNA from 1 species
UACGGGGGGGGCAAGCGUUGUUCGGAUUUACUGGGCGUAAAGGGCGCGUAGGCGGUAGCACAAGUCAGUUGUGAAAUCUCCGGGCUUAACUCGGAAAGGUCAACUGAUACUGUGCGACUAGAGUGCAGAAGGGGCAACUGGAAUUCUCGGUGUAGCGGUGAAAUGCGUAGAUAUCGAGAGGAACACCUGCGGCGAAGGCGGGUUGCUGGGCUGACACUGACGCUGAGACGCGAAAGCGUGGGGAGCAAACAGG